CUCGCCCACUCAUCUCGGCCCACUCCGUCGUCCCGGGCGUUCGAAGAUGUCCGCCAAGCCCGAGGUCGGCUUCGUGAAAGAGGCUUCUCGCCAGAUCCUGGCCGGUGGUUCCGCUGGUCUUGUAGAAAUUUGCCUGAUGCACCCCCUCGAUGUGGUGAAAACCAGGUUCCAGAUUCAGAGAUGUGCAACUGAUCCAAACAGUUAUAAAAGCUUGGGAGACAGUUUUCGAACAAUUUUCCGAAUAGAAGGGCUGUUCGGUUUUUACAAGGGAAUUCUGCCACCCAUCUUGGCUGAAACACCAAAAAGAGCAGUGAAGUUUUUCACCUUCGAGCAGUACAAGAAAUUGCUAGGAUAUGUGUCACUGUCACCAGCAUUGACAUUUGCCAUUGCUGGAUUAGGAUCUGGACUAACUGAAGCUAUCGUGGUUAACCCUUUUGAGGUAGUAAAGGUUGGCUUGCAAGCGAAUCGGAACAAAUUUACAGAGCAACCAUCCACUAUGAGUUAUGCAAGACACAUCAUUAAGAAGGAAGGCUUGGGACUCCAGGGCCUCAACAAAGGAUUUACAGCAACUUUGGGACGUCAUGGGGUUUUCAACAUGGUUUAUUUUGGCUUCUACUACAAUGUCAAAAACAUUGUUCCUGUCAAUAAGGAUCCAACCUUGGAGUUUUUGAGAAAAUUUGGGAUUGGUCUUCUCUCGGGCACAAUAGCCUCAGUCAUUAACAUCCCUUUUGAUGUUGCCAAAAGUAGGAUUCAAGGGCCUCAGCCAGUUCCUGGAGAGAUCAAGUACAGAACCUGUUUUAAAACAAUGGCAACAGUCUACCAGGAAGAAGGGAUUUUAGCUUUGUACAAAGGCCUGCUUCCCAAGAUUAUGAGGCUUGGACCAGAGUGCCUGAAAAAGAAUCUGAUGAGAAAUGCUGAAAGUCACAGAAGCUCAUGGGGAAAAAAUGUAUUUGGAGACUCAAGAUGGUCUUGAUUUUGCUGUGAGAAUUUUCCACAAUAGUUUUACAUCAGCGUAUUAGAGCCCAAAGACUGGUGGUGCAGUGAUGCUGCUGGUUUAUGAAUACACCUAUUCAUGGCUUCAAGAGAACUGGUGAUUACCUAUGAAGUGUUGAAAUAAUGGAUAUUUGCUAUACAGCACUGAGCUGAUAAUUGUAGAAUUAUAAUUUACAAUCUUAUGUACAAUUAAGGGGAAACAGUUUAUUCAUGAACUCUAGAUUCAUGAAAAUCUAUUUCGAUACUCCAAAAAUCAUCUCUAGACCAUUUGAGACAGUAGUUUUGGCCACAUCCAUAAAUCUGUGAGAAGAAAGAUAAUAUGAAGUAAGGAGGUGUGUUAAUCGAGCAUAGAAAUCAGAUAUAGUUCAUAAAAGCAAUAUAAAUUUCAUGACCUGUAUUCCUCUCACACUGAUUCACAAUGAAAAUUCAUUGUAUUCAUAAUUACUUUUUUCCCCAAGAGAUCAAGAAAUGCUUAAAGUCAUAAAAAAAAUUAAGCCAAAAUUUGAACAGUUCUUUUAAGGAAUUCUUCCAUAAAUAAUAACUAAAAGGCACAAGGAAAAGAUUUUUAAAGUACACUAAAAUGGCAUUUUAAAAAUAUUGAAUUUUAUGUUAAAAUUUAAAUCCAUUGGUUUUCUUUAGAGUAAUAAUCUACAUCACACCUCUACUUUCCCAAAGCUACUGGCACUGUUUUUUUAAAUCAUGAUAUGUGAAGUCUUAGGACAAAUAGAAAACAUGAAAUUAUGUUGAACUACUUUCCUUCACAUAAUUCCCUUUGAAAACAAUUUUUGUUGCUGAAAUAGUUUCAUGUUAAAUAACAAUUUGGAACCACUCCUUGGGCCCAUUUGUGCCGUGUUUGCAUCCAAGUAUCUUUUUUCAGAACUCUUACCUAUGCCAUUCUUAAAAAGACUGUUUAAAGUACAUUUCCAAAUUAUUAAAGUGACAGCUUCUGGUAUGAAGUCAUCUAUCUGCAGUGUUAAAAUGUGUAUUAUGAAGGGAAAAAUGUUUCAAAAUAGAAGUACGUUCUUGGCAUUUCCAAAGAUUCCUGUACUAACAUGCACUCCAAAAAAAUAUCUCCUUGGCACCGACAGAACCAAACUGGAUUUUUUAGUUGCCUCCUGAAAUGAUGCUACCUCAGUAGCUGACGUCAACAAAAAUAUCUGCACGUUCUAGACGAUACCUAUUCUUAACUACUACUAAAGAUUAUUUCUACCAUGAGGCUAGGUCACUGAAGCAUUUUGAAAAUAAAAAAUAAAAGAUAACAUGGUAAUUAUUACUUUUUAUUAAUUUAGAGCAUUUGAAGUAUAAAAAUAAAGGCUUUUUGACAUACUGUAUAUACAUACACAGCCUUCGGUUGUACAUCCUUUCCAACGUGUUUUUUAAUUUAUAUUUCAGCCCAAUAUUCAAUAAGAGGGUCAUUAAAAGUAGAAAGAAAAAAAAAACAAGAUGCGUCUGUCAUACAACUGCAUCCUAUCCUUUGCAGGUAAUGCUAUUGCGGCCCGUGAAGGAGAGUACUGCCUGCAUGG